CACCAUUCCAACACCUGCUUCUUCGCGUAGCUGCACCAAAACAGGAAAUGGAAAAGCACUUAUUUCGAAUAAGCUGCAACGCGCGUCCCUCACAUCUCGGCAUCGCCUCACCAAUCGCGUUGGAACAAAGUCUUAGUCCAGACCAGAAGAAGCAACCAAAUCACGGCGAUGCAUUUUCGUUCUUCAGCUUCUACGUCUUCCAUGCUCGAACUCAGACUCCAGGUGAAAAAGAAGAUGACGAAUCAAUGCGUCGGAAUCGAUUUAGCCUCCAAAUUCAACAUCCAACACUCAAGUUCUACUCAUCUUCGUGUAUGCCGAAACUAAAAGAGAGAAAUCAAAAUGAAAAACUCACUGGAUCGAAGCUCUGACGCCAACAUGUACGAUGUUCUUCACUUCCCUUCCGAUUUCGACUUAUCGAAAACGAUUAUGAGGUGGAGAAGGUUGUGACACAUUUCUAUUGUGAGUCGCGAAGAGAGCUCGAGACUGUGUAUUGAAGGAGAUGCAAAUUGAAUCUGAGUUUUUGUGAUUUUGUGUAGAGUCCCUUGUAAAGUAAGAAGAAUGGUUGUAUUUAUAGAUUUUCUGUUCUCAAAUUUUGUUAGAAACUCAAAUUUAAAUCCACCUCAAAUGCACAUGAAAUUCCAAUGGUCAGUUACAAAUGAAAAUUCUGUUAAAGCUCUAAUUUGAAAUGAAAUGAAAACUUAUAUUCAGAUUUUGAAAUGAAAUUAAAAUGAAAUUGAAAUUUGAAAUGAAAUGCGUUUGAGAUUCUUAUGCUGUCAGUUAGUUAUGAGAUUGUCAUUUGUUAAUAGUUGAUUCAGCUAAUUAUUUUGAAUUUGAAGUUAGUUAGUUGCAGGCUGUUUGUUGAUUUUUUUAUGAACUUCACUGGUUUUGUUGCUUGUCUACAGUUGAGUAUAACCGGAGGUUGUCACGGUAAAUGGAUGUUUGCGGCAAGACAUUGAUGCUAGAGCCACACGUCUGCAUCAGAACUGGGAAAAGGUCCACCCUGAAUUGCGCAAACAAGAGGCAUGAAACAAGAAUGCCACUAAUUCCAAGGAGGAACAAUGUUCUAGCCUCAAGAGAAUGGAUCAAAUGAGUCAAUCUGACGGGCACCGAAACAAAUGAAUCAACAAAGAAUGAAUUGAGCGAGUCUUCAGAAACAAUAUAAAGCGUUUCACAUUGUUGUAUUAAUGCUUCAACUUAUCCAACAUGUCAACUUUUAGAGAUAAAGCUUUAUUGAAGAUGCAGAGUGUUUUAUGGAAAAAUGACUCCAGAAUCUGCCGAGUGAGGCGGUGAGGUUCGUUCUAUUUGUAUCCAGUUAGUAGUUUAUGACAGUUAGAGGUUGAAGAGGUUUGUUACAGUUGGUUCAGAAUUGGUAACUGAAUUCGGAAAGCUUGUUAGGUUUGGGAAGUUAGUUUUGGUUAAUGGUUGUUGGUAUUGAAAAGCUUUUGUGAUGGAAGGUUUGAGGGUGGUGAUUCCAUACAGGCUCCUUCAGCAGCAUCAUUGGCAAACAUUGAAACACAAGCUGAACCACAAUGACUACCUCCUACUGUUGUCCCCACAAGAAAAGCACAAAGUUGAGUUACAAAACAAUCAAGGCGCGACUUACUAAUACCCUUCAAUUCAGCAAUUGAUGGUUUCCUCUUGAGUAAGUCCUUCGUCUUUGCAAGUUAUUCACUCUUAGUAGUUUAGACUUUUUAGAGCACCAAAAGUUAAAAAGAUAUGUCAUCUGGAGUAGCAACGUCGAAGCAUCGACAAGAGCUGUCAGUUAGGAUUUCCUGAACGACAACAACAGAGCCUUGGGAUCAGCUAGAAAGAGUGCCUCAGAAAUAUCAAUGUGAUUAAAUCCAUAAUAAGCUUCAGUUGUUGACUUUGGAAGGCACAUUAAUGCAGGAAAAUAGUGAAUAACUAUGACGCAGAGUAAAGAGAAGAACUUAAGCCGAUGCACCGGGUGAUCUUCGAUUUUUGUAAUCAUCUCUGGUGUGCACACCAUGUCUGGUGCUGAUACGUAUGUCGGUAGUGCAACUUGGGUAUUUGAACAACUUUCAAUGAGUCUCUAAACCGCAGGCAAAAAUGGUCCUUGUCAUGUAUGGUUUUUUCCAAAUUCAUGCAUUAUGAUAAACCAACAGGCACUAUUGGUGCUGAAACAUUUUACUAGUCUUGAAUUGCUAAAUUGUUAUGGAAUUUGAAAUGCUAAUUUUGAAUGGUUUGAAUUUGGAUGUACUUGGAAUUUGUAACUUAAAAACAAUGGUUGACUGAAACAUUGGAAUAUGGUUUGAAAUUGGUUUGAAUGAAAUUGAAUGUGUAAAUUGGUUUUUAUAUUGUAUGGUUGAAUAAAAAUGAGAAUUGUAUUGGCUUGACCAUCGUAAGUGAAAUUGGUUGGUGGAAUAAAAAUGUUUUGUAAUGAACUUGAAUUGUCAAUUGGGGAUAAUAGCUUGUGAUAGUAAAUUGAAUUGAAUUCAAGGGUUGAUUAAUGUGUAUGAAUUUGAUCAUGGUUUAAGAAUGGCUUGGAAUGGAUCAUGAAAAGGAACAAGGUUUAGGAAAGGUUUGAAAUGGAUCACAAGUUGUGUAUUUGUAGUUUUUGUAAUUUUGGAACGAAAGUGUAAAUUGUAUUGAA